GUGAGCCUAGUGAUAGGAGACUAUCUAGCUUGGUUCGGAGAGAUUAGACUGUGUCUUCCAGACGAUGGUAAAAGAAGUCGGGUAUUGUUGACUACUCGAGAC
rfam:Nicotiana attenuata strain TT chromosome 8, whole genome shotgun sequence.